rnacentral:lncRNA from 1 species
UGAAUUUUGGUCUGAUUUUUUGCAUCAUGGUCAAGAAAAAUAUGAAGUAUUUUUCAAGAGAAAGAGAAAAAAAAUUGGAGUGGCAAAAGAGGUAUUUUUAGCCGCAUCGUCACGUGGGCAUUGGCAGGCCAUUUCCCGCCCAGCUAACCUCCCUUCGUGCGAGAAAUGACCAGCGGAAGCGCGCAGCAAGCGCGCCCGCGUGCGGAAAAAUCGCGCAGCACCCGCGCGCCCGCGCGCGGCUACUUCACGCGGCACCAUCGCGCGCAGCAAGCGCGCCCGCGCGCGGCACCAUCGCGGGCAGCAAGCGCGCCAGCGCGCGGCACCAUCGCGCGCAGCAAGCGCGGCAGCGCGCGGCACCAUCGCGGGCAGCAAGCGCGCCAGCGCGCGGCACCAUCGCGCGCAGCAAGCGCGCCAGCGCGCGGCACCAUCGCGCGCAGCAAGCGCGCCAGCGCGCGGCACCAUCGCGCGCAGUUAGCGAGAUUGCGCGCGGCUCCUUCACGCGGCACCAUCGCGCACAGCAAGCGCGCCAGCGCGCGGCACCAUCGCGCGCAGCAAGCGCACCAGCGCGCGGCACCAUCGCGCGCAGUUAGCGAGAUUGCGCGGGGCUCCAUCGCGCGCAGCAAUCGCGCCAGCGCGCGGCACCAUCGCGCGGCACCAUCGCGCAGUUAGCGAGAUUGCGCGCGGCUCCUUCACGCGGCACCAUCGCGCGCAGCAAACGCGCCAGCGCGCGGCACCAUCGCGCGCAGCAAGCGCGCCAGCGCGCGGCACCAUCGCGAGCAGUUAGCGAGAUUGCGCGCGGCACCAUCGCGCGCAGCGAGCGCCCCAGCGCGCGGCACCAUCGCGCGCAGCCAGCGCGAUCGCGCGCGGCACCAUCGCGCUUAGCAAGCGCCCCAGCGCGCGGCACCAUCCCGCGCAGCCGGCGCGAUCGCUCGCGGCACCAUCUCACGCAACCAUCGCGCGCAGUUAGCGAGAUUGCGCGCGCCACCAUCGCGCGGCACCAUCGCGCGGCACCAUCGCGCGCAGCAAGCGCCCCAGCGCGCGGCACCAUCGCGCGCAGCAAGCGCACCAGCGCGCGGCACCAUCGCGCGAAGUUAGCGAGAUUGCGCGUGGCACCAUCGCGCGCAGCGAGCGCCCCAGCGCGCGGCACCAUCGCGCGCAGCCAGUGCGAUCGCGCGCGGCACCAUCUCCCGCAGCCAGCGCGAUAGCGAGGGGCACCAUCGCGCGCAGCAAGCGCGCCAGCGCGCGGCACCAUCGCGCGCAGUUAGCGAGAUUGCGCGCGGCUCCUUCACGCGGCACCAUCGCGCGCAGCAAGCGCGCCAGCGCGCGGCACCAUCGCGCGCAGCAAGCGCGCCAGCGCGCGGCACCAUCGCGAGCAGUUAGCGAGAUUGCGCGCGGCACCAUCGCGCGCAGCGAGCGCCCCAGCGCGCGGCACCAUCGCGCGCAGCCAGCUCCCCAGCGCGCGGCACCAUCGCGCGCAGCAAGCUCCCCAGCGCGCGGCACCAUCGCGCGCAGCAAGCUCCCCAGCGCGCGGCACCAUCGCGCGCAGCAAGCUCCCCAGCGCGCGGCACCAUCGCGCGCAGCAAGCGCACCAGCGCGCGGCACCAUCGCGCGCAGGCAGCCAACUCUCGUGCGGCAAGGCAGCCAACGAUCUUGCGCGAGGAUGCGCACGCUGGCGCGCGAGGUUGCCCACACUCGCGCGGCAAGGCAGCCAACUCUGGCGCGGCAAGGCUGCCCACGCUCGAGCGGCAAGGCUGCGCACUGUGGCGCGAGGCUGCGCACGCUGGCGCCCGAGGCUGCCCAAGAUGGCGCGCGUUACCAACGCUCGCACGGCAAGCAAGCCCACGCUCGCGCGCCAGGCUGCGCACGCUCGCGCGGCAAGGAUGCGCACGCUGGCGCGCGAGGUUGCCCACUCUCGCGCGGCAAGGCAGCCAACUCUCGCGCGGCAAGGCUGCCCACGCUCGAGCGGCAAGGCUGCGCACUCUGGCGCGCGAGGCUGCGCACGCUCGCGCGGCAAGCAAGCCGACGCUCGCGCGCCAGGCUGCGCACGCUCGCGCGGCAAGGAAGCCAACGAUCGCGCGCGAGGCUGCGCACGCUGGCGCGCGAGGCUGCCCACCCUCGCACGGCAAGGCAGCCAACGCUGGCGCGCGAGGCUGCCCACGCUCGCGCGGCAAGGAAGCCAACUCUUGCGCGCGAGGCUGCCCAUUUCCGAGUAAGGCAUGCUUCACCCACUCGCGAGGAAGGCAGCGCGAACUCGUGCGAGGGAUGUAGCCCAGCCUCGCGUGCCCGCAGCGCACGCUGGCGGGGAAGGAUACGAGCGCGCGCGCGGCAUGCACCUGGCACUCGCGCGGCAAACUGCCGACGCUCGAGCGAGGCAAGGCAGCGGGCGCUCGCCACCAAGGCACGCAGCCCACGCUCGAGCGAGGCAAGGCUUGCGCACGCCAUGCAGCCCCCACUCGCGCGGCAAGCAGCGCAGGCUCGCGAGGCAAGCUGCCCACGAUCG